rnacentral:rRNA from 1 species
AGUGAACGCUGGCGGCAGGCCUAACACAUGCAAGUCGAGCGGCAGCGGGUCCUUCGGGAUGCCGGCGAGCGGCGGACGGGCGAGGAAUACAUCGGAAUCUGCCCUGUCGUGGGGGAUAACCUAGGGAAACUUAGGCUAAUACCGCAUUCGACCUACGGGUGAAAGCGGGGGAUCGCAAGACCUCGCGCGACAGGAUGAGCCGAUGUCCGAUUAGCUAGUUGGCGGGGUAAAGGCCCACCAAGGCGACGAUCGGUAGCUGGUCUGAGAGGAUGAUCAGCCACACUGGGACUGAGACACGGCCCAGACUCCUACGGGAGGCAGCAGUGGGGAAUAUUGGACAAUGGGCGCAAGCCUGAUCCAGCCAUGCCGCGUGGGUGAAGAAGGCCUUCGGGUUGUAAAGCCCUUUUGUCCGGGAAGAAAACGUCUGGGCUAAUACCCCGGGGGUAUGACGGUACCGGAAGAAUAAGCACCGGCUAACUUCGUG